rnacentral:rRNA from 1 species
GACGAACGCUGGCGGCGUGCUUAACACAUGCAAGUCGAACGGUGAACCUCUUCGGAGGGGAUUAGUGGCGAACGGGUGAGUAACACGUGGGCAACCUGCCCCCGGCUCUGGGAUAACUCCAAGAAAUUGGGGCUAAUACCGGAUGUUCACCGCUUCCCGCAUGGGUGGUGGUGGAAAGGGUUUCCGGCUGGGGAUGGGCCCGCGGCCUAUCAGCUUGUUGGUGGGGUAGUGGCCUACCAAGGCGACGACGGGUAGCCGGCCUGAGAGGGUGACCGGCCACACUGGGACUGAGACACGGCCCAGACUCCUACGGGAGGCAGCAGUGGGGAAUAUUGCGCAAUGGGCGGAAGCCUGACGCAGCGACGCCGCGUGGGGGAUGACGGCCUUCGGGUUGUAAACCUCUUUCAGCAGGGACGAAGCGCAAGUGACGGUACCUGCAGAAGAAGCACCGGCCAACUACGUG